rnacentral:rRNA from 1 species
GACGUAGGAUGCAAGCGUUGUCCGGAUUUAUUGGGCGUAAAGAGUUCGUAGGUGGUUCGUUAAGUCUGAUGUUAAAGACUGGGGCUCAACCCUGGAAGUGCAUUGGAUACUGGCGGACUUGAGUGUGGUAGAGGCAAUCGGAAUUCCAGGUGUAGCGGUGAAAUGCGUAGAUAUCUGGAAGAACACCGGUGGCGCAAGCGGAUUGCUAGGCCAUAACUGACACUGAGGAACGAAAGCUAGGGGAGCGAAUGGG